rnacentral:lncRNA from 1 species
GGCCACAGGGUCGAGAAGAGUGAAUGGAGGAAGAGCCAGGAGAGCCCUGGAGCACCGCGGACGGAACCCAGCGACUGGCCGCCUCUCCGGGCGCGCUUCCUGUGUUGUUCCUCCUGCUUCUACUGGUCCUAUCGUCCCAACUCUUACGGCGUCGCGGCCCCAGGUGGUUCGUCGCGGCCCCAGGUGGUUCAGAGAAAUCCGAGGAGCAGAAUCUGGGUAGGCAUUACUAGCCCCAUGUUGCAGAUGACACUGGAAGAUAGAAAUGGUGACAAACUGUGAAUGCAGAGAGGCUGUUAGAUUGACCAGAUGGUCUGAUACCAGUUGGCUGCAGAGUUGCAAGCACAUGGACCUAAGAAUGUAAUUUUCUGUACCGAGUCCACAAAGGCCACUCUGCCUAAAGCUGACAGGAAUCAACAAACAAGAUGAAGCUACCAUACUGCCCUGUGGCUCAGGAAGCGGGCCCCAUAUAAUACACCAAUGCAAAAAUAGUGUGACAUCUAAACACCAGUAUGGUAAUGAUGUAAAAAAUUUGUUUUAGUAAGCAGCAGAUGAAAAGACAUUUGAAAACGUUGACUUGGUAUUUCUCAGCACUGUCCUACAGAGAACAGUGCCCAUACUUGGGCUUGUUAAUAAGUAAUGGAGACUGGGCAUUGUGGCUCAAGCCUGUAAUUCCAGCACUUUGGGAGGCUGAGGUGGGCGGAUCACAUGAGGUCAGGAAUUUGAGACCAGCCUGGCCAACAUGGAGAAACCUCGUCUCUACUAAAAAUACAAAAAUUAGCCAGGCGUGGUAGUGCACGCCUGUAAUCCCAGCUACUAGGGAGGCUGAGGCAGGAGAAUUGCUUGAACCCAG